rnacentral:rRNA from 1 species
AUGAAACGAGAAGUCGACUCGCCACCAGUGGCGUCCGGCCCUCCGCGAGCACCCGAGGGGGUUCGGGCCCCGGACCCGGUCCGAUCCCGUCCCUUUCUCGGGGCUGUCCGCGAAUGGAGGUGUCCUCGGACGGAGUCGAAUUCCUUCCCGGUCCGCGACGCUACGGCUUGGAUGGUCCACCCGACCCGUCUUGAAACACGGACCAAGGAGUCUAACAUGCGCGCGAGUCGUUGGGUCGGACACGCUCCGCUAAACCCAUAGGCGCAAUGAAAGUGAAGACCGCUGUUCGGGCGGCCGAGGGAGGACGGGGCCGCUUUCCGGCGGUCCCCGCACCCCCGGGGCGUCUGAUCCCUCAUCGCGAGGGGAGGCGCACCCAGAGCGCACACGUUGGGACCCGAAAGAUGGUGAACUAUGCCUGGCCAGGACGAAGUCAGGGGAAACCCUGAUGGAGGUCCGUAGCGAUUCUGACGUGCAAAUCGAUCGUCGGAGCUGGGUAUAGGGGCGAAAGACUAAUCGAACCAUCUAGUAGCUGGUUCCCUCCGAAGUUUCCCUCAGGAUAGCUUGCGCUCGGAGGAGAGUCUCAUCCGGUAAAGCGAAUGAUUAGAGGCCUUGGGGCCGAAACGGCUUCAACCUAUUCUCAAACUUUAAAUGGGUGAGAACUCCGGCUUGCUCGAUUACUCGAAGCCGGAGACGGGGACUCGCGUCCCCCGGGAUCGGAGUGCACAGUGGGCCACUUUUGGUAAGCAGAACUGGCGCUGUGGGAUGAACCAAACGACGGGUUAAGGCGCCCGAAUCGACGCUCAUGGGAAACCAUGAAAGGUGUUGGUUGCUUAAGACAGCAGGACGGUGGCCAUGGAAGUCGGAAUCCGCUAAGGAGUGUGUAAUAACUCACCUGCCGAAGCAACUAGCCCUGAAAAUGGAUGGCGCUGAAGCGUCGUGCCUAUACCCGGCCGUCGCCGCAAGACGGACCCGGCCUCCGCGCCGGGUGCCGCCUGACGCGGCGACGAGUAGGAGGGUCGCGGCGGCGAGCGCAGAAGGGUCUGGGCUCGAGCCUGCCUGGAGCCGCCGCCGGUGCAGAUCUUGGUGGUAGUAGCAAAUACUCCAGCGAGGCCCUGGAGGACUGAUGUGGAGAAGGGUUUCGUGUGAACAGCCGUUGCACACGAGUCAGUCGAUCCUAAGCCCUAGGAGAAAUCCGACGCCAACGGCGACGGGACGAAAGAACGAAAACGACCCGUUGAUCGGGCGAAAGGGAAUCCGGUUCCUAUUCCGGAACCCGGCAGCGGAACCGCUGUUUGUCGGGCCCUCACAAGGGGUUCGUCAGGGUAACCUAAAAGGGCCCGGAGACGCCGUCGGGAGCCCCGGAAAGAGUUUUCUUUUCUGCAUGAGCGUUCGAGUUCCCUG